CCCCUCCUCACUCAGUACAAAUAGUUGAAGGAUACUGAGGUCACACCAUUAUCCUUCUUUCCCUGUAUCGCAUCUCCAUUCAGGUGUCACUGGAAACCCUCCCUGUGUAUUGACCCAGAAGGAUGGAUCCAGGUCCAAAGGGACACGGCCCUGGAGGGCAUCCCCCUGGUCAUGACCCUCACGGACACCCACCUGGAACUGAGGGCCCUCCCAUGUAAAGCACCCACAUGGUCCUGGAAAGCACACACCUGGUCCUGGAGGGUCUCCCCCUCCAGGGAAACCUCAUGGUCCACCUCACUAAGGAAGCAGUUCAAAGAGGCAGGGAGACCAAGGAACCACUUUUGCCAGCCUGGCACCGGGCAAUAUCACCAGUCUAUUCUGCUUAAUAAACAAUCUCAU